UUAAGCGACUAAGCGUACACGGUGGAUGCCCUGGCAGUCAGAGGCGAUGAAGGACGUGCUAAUCUGCGAAAAGCGUCGGUAAGGUGAUAUGAACCGUUAUAACCGGCGAUGUCCGAAUGGGGAAACCCAGUGCAAUUUGUUGCACUAUCGUUAACUGAAUACAUAGGUUAACGAGGCGAACCGGGGGAACUGAAACAUCUAAGUACCCCGAGGAAAAGAAAUCAACCGAGAUUCCCCCAGUAGCGGCGAGCGAACGGGGAGCAGCCCAGAGUCUGAAUCAGCUUGUGUGUUAGUGGAACGGUCUGGAAAGUCCGACGGUACAGGGUGAUAGUCCCGUACACCAAAAUGCACAGGUUGUGAACUCGAAGAGUAGGGCGGGACACGUGGUAUCCUGUCUGAAUAUGGGGGGACCAUCCUCCAAGGCUAAAUACUCCUGACUGACCGAUAGUGAACCAGUACCGUGAGGGAAAGGCGAAAAGAACCCCGGCGAGGGGAGUGAAAAAGAACCUGAAACCGUGUACGUACAAGCAGUGGGAGCACCUUCGGGUGUGACUGCGUACCUUUUGUAUAAUGGGUCAGCGACUUAUAUUCUGUAGCAAGGUUAACCGUAUAGGGGAGCCGCAGGGAAACCGAGUCUUAACUGGGCGUUAAGUUGCAGGGUAUAGACCCGAAACCCGGUGAUCUAGCCAUGGGCAGGUUGAAGGUUGGGUAACACUAACUGGAGGACCGAACCGACUAAUGUUGAAAAAUUAGCGGAUGACUUGUGGCUGGGGGUGAAAGGCCAAUCAAACCGGGAGAUAGCUGGUUCUCCCCGAAAGCUAUUUAGGUAGCGCCUCGUGAACUCAUCUUCGGGGGUAGAGCACUGUUUCGGCUAGGGGGUCAUCCCGACUUACCAACCCGAUGCAAACUACGAAUACCGAAGAAUGUUAUCACGGGAGACACACGGCGGGUGCUAACGUCCGUCGUGAAGAGGGAAACAACCCAGACCGCCAGCUAAGGUCCCAAAGUCAUGGUUAAGUGGGAAACGAUGUGGGAAGGCACAGACAGCCAGGAUGUUGGCUUAGAAGCAGCCAUCAUUUAAAGAAAGCGUAAUAGCUCACUGGUCGAGUCGGCCUGCGCGGAAGAUGUAACGGGGCUAAACCAUGCACCGAAGCUGCGGCAGCGACACUAUGUGUUGUUGGGUAGGGGAGCGUUCUGUAAGCCUGCGAAGGUGACCUGUGAGGGUUGCUGGAGGUAUCAGAAGUGCGAAUGCUGACAUAAGUAACGAUAAAGCGGGUGAAAAGCCCGCUCGCCGGAAGACCAAGGGUUCCUGUCCAACGUUAAUCGGGGCAGGGUGAGUCGACCCCUAAGGCGAGGCCGAAAGGCGUAGUCGAUGGGAAACAGGUUAAUAUUCCUGUACUUGGUGUUACUGCGAAGGGGGGACGGAGAAGGCUAUGUUAGCCGGGCGACGGUUGUCCCGGUUUAAGCAUGUAGGCUGGUUGUCCAGGCAAAUCCGGAUAAUCAAGGCUGAGGUGUGAUGACGAGGCACUACGGUGCUGAAGUAACAAAUGCCCUGCUUCCAGGAAAAGCCUCUAAGCAUCAGGUAACAUCAAAUCGUACCCCAAACCGACACAGGUGGUCAGGUAGAGAAUACCAAGGCGCUUGAGAGAACUCGGGUGAAGGAACUAGGCAAAAUGGUGCCGUAACUUCGGGAGAAGGCACGCUGGUGUGUAGGUGAAGUCCCUGCGGAUGGAGCUGAGACCAGUCGAAGAUACCAGCUGGCUGCAACUGUUUAUUAAAAACACAGCACUGUGCAAACACGAAAGUGGACGUAUACGGUGUGACGCCUGCCCGGUGCCGGAAGGUUAAUUGAUGGGGUUAUCCGUAAGGAGAAGCUCUUGAUCGAAGCCCCGGUAAACGGCGGCCGUAACUAUAACGGUCCUAAGGUAGCGAAAUUCCUUGUCGGGUAAGUUCCGACCUGCACGAAUGGCGUAAUGAUGGCCAGGCUGUCUCCACCCGAGACUCAGUGAAAUUGAACUCGCUGUGAAGAUGCAGUGUACCCGCGGCAAGACGGAAAGACCCCGUGAACCUUUACUAUAGCUUGACACUGAACAUUGAGCCUUGAUGUGUAGGAUAGGUGGGAGGCUUUGAAGCGUGGACGCCAGUCUGCGUGGAGCCAACCUUGAAAUACCACCCUUUAAUGUUUGAUGUUCUAACGUUGGCCCCUGACCGGGGUUGCGGACAGUGUCUGGUGGGUAGUUUGACUGGGGCGGUCUCCUCCCAAAGCGUAACGGAGGAGCACGAAGGUUAGCUAAUCCUGGUCGGACAUCAGGAGGUUAGUGCAAUGGCAUAAGCUAGCUUGACUGCGAGCGUGACGGCGCGAGCAGGUGCGAAAGCAGGUCAUAGUGAUCCGGUGGUUCUGAAUGGAAGGGCCAUCGCUCAACGGAUAAAAGGUACUCCGGGGAUAACAGGCUGAUACCGCCCAAGAGUUCAUAUCGACGGCGGUGUUUGGCACCUCGAUGUCGGCUCAUCACAUCCUGGGGCUGAAGUAGGUCCCAAGGGUAUGGCUGUUCGCCAUUUAAAGUGGUACGCGAGCUGGGUUUAGAACGUCGUGAGACAGUUCGGUCCCUAUCUGCCGUGGGCGCUGGAGAAUUGAGGGGGGCUGCUCCUAGUACGAGAGGACCGGAGUGGACGCAUCACUGGUGUUCGGGUUGUCAUGCCAAUGGCACUGCCCGGUAGCUAAAUGCGGAAGAGAUAAGUGCUGAAAGCAUCUAAGCACGAAACUUGCCCCGAGAUGAGUUCUCCCUGAGACUUUAAGUCUCCUGAAGGAACGUUGAAGACGACGACGUUGAUAGGCCGGGUGUGUAAGCGCAGCGAUGCGUUGAGCUAACCGGUACUAAUGAACCGUGAGGCUUAACCUU
rnacentral:rRNA from 1 species